UACGUAGGGGGCAAACGUUGUCCGGAUUUACUGGGUUUAAAGGGUGCGUAGGUGGAUAAUUAAGUCAGUGGUGAAAUCUUCAGGCUUAACCUGGAAACUGCCAUUGAUACUAUUUAUCUUGAAUACUUUGGAGGUAAGCGGAAUAUGUCAUGUAGCGGUGAAAUGCUUAGAUAUGACAUAGAACACCAAUUGCGAAGGCAGCUUACUACACAGUAAUUGACACUGAGGCACGAAAGCGUGGGGAUCAAACAGG
rnacentral:rRNA from 1 species